rnacentral:rRNA from 1 species
AACGAACGCUGGCGGCAGGCCUAACACAUGCAAGUCGAGCGGGACCUUCGGGUCUAGCGGCGGACGGGUUAGUAACGCGUGGGAACGUGCCCAAAGGUACGGAAUAGCCUCGGGAAACUGAGAGUAAUACCGUAUGUGCCCCUCGGGGGAAAGAUUUAUCGCCUUUGGAUCGGCCCGCGUUGGAUUAGGUAGUUGGUGGGGUAAUGGCCUACCAAGCCGACGAUCCAUAGCUGAUUUGAGAGGAUGAUCAGCAACACUGGGACUGAGACACGGCCCAGACUCCUACGGGAGGCAGCAGUGGGGAAUCUUAGACAAUGGGGGAAACCCUGAUCUAGCCAUGCCGCGUGAGCGAUGAAGGCCUUAGGGUUGUAAAGCUCUUUCAGAUGGGAAGAUAAUGACGGUACCAUCAGAAGAAGCCCCGGCUAACUCCGUG